UCGCCCGCCGCGCGCGGCGGGCGGGGCGGGGGCACGGGGGGCCUACGGGAGGCAGCAGUAAGGAAUAUUGCACAAUGGGGGAAACCCUGAUGCAGCAACGCCGCGUGAGUGAUGACGGUCUUCGGAUUGUAAAGCUCUGUCUUCAGGGACGAUAAUGACGGUACCUGAGGAGGAAGCCACGGCUAACUACGUGCCAGCAGCCGCGGUAAUA
rnacentral:rRNA from 1 species